rnacentral:rRNA from 1 species
AGUCUGAAUAGGGCGUUUAGUAUUUGGUCGUAGACCCGAAACCAGGUGAUCUACCCUUGGUCAGGUUGAAGUUCAGGUAACACUGAAUGGAGGACCGAACCGACUUACGUUGAAAAGUGAGCGGAUGAACUGAGGGUAGCGGAGAAAUUCCAAUCGAACCUGGAGAUAGCUGGUUCUCUCCGAAAUAGCUUUAGGGCUAGCCUCAAGUGAUGAUUAUUGGAGGUAGAGCACUGUUUGGACGAGGGGCCCCUCUCGGGUUACCGAAUUCAGACAAACUCCGAAUGCCAAUUAAUUUAACUUGGGAGUCAGAACAUGGGUGAUAAGGUCCGUGUUCGAAAGGGAAACAGCCCAGACCACCAGCUAAGGUCCCAAAAUAUAUGUUAAGUGGAAAAGGAUGUGGCGUUGCCCAGACAACUAGGAUGUUGGCUUAGAAGCAGCCAUCAUUUAAAGAGUGCGUAAUAGCUCACUAGUCGAGUGACACUGCGCCGAAAAUGUACCGGGGCUAAACAUAUUACCGAAGCUGUGGAUUGUCCUUUGGACAAUGGUAGGAGAGCGUUCUAAGGGCGUUGAAGCAUGAUCGUAAGGACAUGUGGAGCGCUUAGAAGUGAGAAUGCCGGUGUGAGUAGCGAAAGACGGGUGAGAAUCCCGUCCACCGAUUGACUAAGGUUUCCAGAGGAAGGCUCGUCCGCUCUGGGUUAGUCGGGUCCUAAGCUGAGGCCGACAGGCGUAGGCGAUGGAUAACAGGUUGAUAUUCCUGUACCACCUAUAAUCGUUUUAAUCGAUGGGGGGACGCAGUAGGAUAGGCGAAGCGUGCGAUUGGAUU